GAACAACACACUUCUGAUUCUCGUGCCUCCCCUGUGCUACUCUAUUCUGUGACGUUAAUGGCUCCAUAGUGUAUGCUGGUAGACUACAGCUCCCACAAUACAGCAAGAAGUGUGAGGGCAUCCUGGGACAUCACAGUAUAUUCCCUCUGCUCCCUGAUCCCCAUUUCCUCCCCAAAAAUAUAAUUCAGAAAGGAAGACCUACCUGAGGUGUUGCAUACCUUAAUAUGGCUGCUCCUUUCAUGGUGUGGCAUGUCUCUGGAGCUCCAUUGGUGGUAAGUGCUGAUGUCUGCUGAAGCUCCCACGCAUAUAGGGACCUCUUCCUCCUUGACAUAGCAUUCAGAAGUGGAUCGGCGGGAGGGAGACCAGGUUUGUGUGUGGGUCGUGGCACACUGAAAUACAGCAGGCGCCAUCUUAACUUAGGUGUUUUAUUUUUAACCCCUGCAGUGACAUUGCUGUAAGAGUGUAUA